UGCGCAGGCGGACCUAUUAGUCAGUGGUGAAAUCCCGGGGCUCAACUCCGGAACUGCCAUUGAUACUGUAGGUCUUGAGUUUGGUUGAAGUGGGCAGAAUGUAGCAUGUAGCGGUGAAAUGCAUAGAUAUGCUACAGAACACCGAUCGCGAAGGCAGCUCACUAAACCAAAACUGACGCUCAGGCACGAAAGCGUGGGUAGCGAACAGGAUUAGAUACCCUGGUAGUCC
rnacentral:rRNA from 1 species